rnacentral:rRNA from 1 species
GACGAACGCUGGCGGCGUGCCUAAUACAUGCAAGUUGAGCGCUGAAGGUUGGUACUUGUACCAACUGGAUGAGCAGCGAACGGGUGAGUAACGCGUGGGGAAUCUGCCUUUGAGCGGGGGACAACAUUUGGAAACGAAUGCUAAUACCGCAUAAAAACUUUAAACACAAGUUUUAAGUUUGAAAGAUGCAAUUGCAUCACUCAAAGAUGAUCCCGCGUUGUAUUAGCUAGUUGGUGAGGUAAAGGCUCACCAAGGCGAUGAUACAUAGCCGACCUGAGAGGGUGAUCGGCCACAUUGGGACUGAGACACGGCCCAAACUCCUACGGGAGGCAGCAGUAGGGAAUCUUCGGCAAUGGACGAAAGUCUGACCGAGCAACGCCGCGUGAGUGAAGAAGGUUUUCGGAUCGUAAAACUCUGUUGGUAGAGAAGAACGUUUGUGAGAGUGGAAAGCUCAUCAAGUGACGGUAACUACCCAGAAAGGGACGGCUAACUACGUG